rnacentral:lncRNA from 1 species
GGAAUAGUUCGCUCAUCAAUAACAUCUUUUCCAUCUCAGACGCUUCAGCCAUUUGCGGAUUGCCACUCCAUAUGCGUAAUUUGCACGAUACUCGAGUCUGGAACAUUUAUUGGUUCGUGAUUUAAUAAAUCUAGACUUGCAUACUUGGAAUAGUUCGCUCAUCAAUAACAUCUUUUCCAUCUCAGACGCUUCAGCCAUUUGCGGAUUGCCAC